UGGUAAAAAAAUCAUCUAUUUGUAUUGUUAAAAAUUAACUUGACUGACGGAUUAACAAAAUGACAAGUUGCAUAUCAUAUGUAUCUUAUGUUGAUAUACAAGACUCAAUUUUUAACCGUAGAAAUGAAUGAAAUUUUUAACA
rfam:Gossypium arboreum cultivar AKA8401 contig_7996_3, whole genome shotgun sequence.